UGGGGGAUGCAGGAUCCUGGGCUGUGCCCCCCGGCACCCUGGGAUCUGAGGCCUGUGUUGCUGGAAUCGUGCUCCCAGGCUGCAGCUCCCA
rnacentral:pre_miRNA from 1 species